rnacentral:rRNA from 1 species
GACGAACGCUGGCGGCGUGCUUAACACAUGCAAGUCGAGCGGUAAGGCCCUUUCGGGGGUACACGAGCGGCGAACGGGUGAGUAACACGUGGGUGACCUGCCCUCAGCUCUGGGAUAAGCCUGGGAAACUGGGUCUAAUACUGGAUAUGACUCCACGGUGCAUGUCGUGGGGUGGAAAGCCUUGUGCGGCUGAGGAUGGGCCCGCGGCCUAUCAGCUUGUUGGUGGGGGAUGGCCUACCAAGGCGACGACGGGUAGCCGGCCUGAGAGGGCGACCGGCCACACUGGGACUGAGACACGGCCCAGACUCCUACGGGAGGCAGCAGUGGGGAAUAUUGGACAAUGGGCGAAAGCCUGAUCCAGCC